ACAGGAAGCUGCCCUCAUGGAACGGGGUGCAGUGGGGUGUUCGUGGUCCUGCUGCCGUUGGCUGGGCGCAGCCAUCCCUGCCGGCUCCCCCGCGCCUGUGCCCCGGGCCCUACUGCACCUGCACGGGCGGGGCUCUGGGGCCGGCGCGGGGAGUGAGGCCGCCGGUCUCCUCUGCUGUGGUCGGUGUGGGGGCCGGCGGGGCGCAGAGCUGCUCACCCGGCUGACUCCCCCUUCUGCCCUGCUGGCCUCUGAGCCGGUUCUCUGGGGCCUCUGUGAGCGCCUUGUGCCCCCCACACCCGCCGUGAGUACCGUGUCUCUCUGCUCAGCCAGGUGGGCGCCUCUGCUGCUGCUGUUGCCACCGAGUGACUGACUGACGCAGCGACGCAGCCACCGACACCCAAACACUGGAGCGUUUUACCCAAAUGUAAAAGUCUAAACUUCCGGCUUCUCGAACAAAAGAAAACAAAGGAAAACGUCAGACGCCCCGUUGACGCCGGGCGCGCGUGGCCGCGGCCGAGCCGCUCUUCAAAGCCGGCAGCGUCUGGUCUGGCCUGGCUCCGCCAGCUGCCCGCAGGUCCUGUCCUCGUGGCUUUCUGCCCUGUCCUCCCUGGCCGGCUGCACUGGCUUCUGUGACGCUCGCUCCUUGCUGCGCAAGUGCAGGUGCAGCACCUUAAAGGCUGAGUGCGUCCCACACAGCGGGGCUGGAGCUCGGCACCUUCAGUCCACCCCAAACACCGCCCUCCCGCUGUGCACGGCCACUGCUGCCCCUCCUGCACCCCGACACAUGGGGAGCUGGUCUGAGCCUGCCCCACCUGCUCUCCUGUGAUCUCCCCUCUGCCACCCCCAUCUCGCGCUCCAUACCCCUUCCUCAGACCUCCUUGCCUGGGGCUGCUCUCCCCAACUCAGCAGAGCAGGGCUGGCCAGUACUAAGGACAGGGGCGACCACUGGUCCCCAGAAAUCCUGAAUCCAGGAAACCCCUCAGUCCGGGGCAGACCGGGAUGGCCGACCACCCUGACUAGGGGAGGGCCGUCAGAAGUCUUUGACCCUGAUCUAAGUUCUCUCUGCUUUGCUGAGUCUCUUUCUGUCUCUCUCCUCCUCUCCCUGUCUGAAUGUCUGCCUGCCUCUCUCCCACACACAUCUGAGACACAGGUCUCACAGAACCGCCCUUGCCCUUCUGUCUGUCUGUCUGCCUGCCUCUCUCUCACACACACACCUGAGACACAGGUCUCACAGAACCGCCCUUGGCCCUCUCUGCCAGGAGGGUGGUUCUCGGAGGUUCCCAUCCUCUGUGGGGAUGCUGACAGCUGUGGGUCAUGGCUGGUGCCGCGGUUCUCACUCUUGGCUGCAGAGAGCAGCUGGGGGCUGCAGGUCAGGCCACACCUAGCUCCCCAUGGCCCUGGUUCACUUAAGUGACAGGCUGGGGUGAGGGGAGGAGGAGGCCAGGGUGUGACCGUCGGUUCCAUUUCUGCUUUCCCCCAGCUCCCCAAGUCAGGCACCGGCACAGUGGCAGUUGGUUUGUGGGACACCCAUCUGUCAGUAGGGCAUGAGUAUCCUUGGCUCUGUCCUGCUGAAUCAUGGGUCCUGGCUGUGGCGCCAGGGCCAGCUGUGUUUGUGAUCUGGUGCAUCCUCAGGAGAAGGAGAGCAGGCGAGGCGCCAGGGAAUGUAGGAUUUGCUGAUGAAUUGUGUUUCAAAAAAGGUGGCUUUUUUUCUGUUGUCAGACUUCAGGAAACAGGUAGAGGCUGUGACCUUUGGGCCAGUCAAAUGAAUCUACAGAGAUUAAAGGAGGAUUGUGGAGUGAAAACCAAAAAAAGCCAAACAUAGAGGAAUCCGUUUACCCUUUCAGCCACGUAUUUCGCUGUUGCCGAACCUUUAUUAAAAUGCUUCUCUCAAAGGAAAAAUUGUAUAGUUUUUUCAGGCUUCAAAAACCCAGGCCAUGUGUCUAAAGGUCACUUGACGAACAGCACAAAUCCCAUGGUAAAGGGCAGGGUGCG
rnacentral:lncRNA from 1 species